rnacentral:misc_RNA from 1 species
UUUCCGUAGGUGAACCUGCGGAAGGAUCAUUAUCGUGUUUUGACUGAAUUUUAAUUGGCUUUCUACGGUAUGUUCAAGCACUACUUAUUCUCUCUACACCUUUGCACUUAAUUUGUAUAUCAAAUAUUAAAUCGUUCUUUUUUACCCUAGCUUGUUAAGCGUUUCUUUUCUUUCUUUUAUCUUUUUCUCUAUUAUUUAUCUUUUUUUUUAUUUUUGUGUUUCUCCUCUAUAUACAACUUUCAACAACGGAUAUCUUAACUCUCACAUAGAUGAAAAACA